UCCUCCCACUUUCAGUUCUGGUUCCAGCCUCUUUAAACUACCAAAAACGGGAUUCCAUGUUCGUGCCCGUACAGCUUCUGUUGUCUCGACAAUUAUUUUAUGCUUUUGGGAAAUGUUGGUUGAUAGGAUGGUAAACCAGUGAUGAGUUGGAGGAGAAUGACCAAGUCUCUUCAACCUUUGUGACACAAAUAUGGCCUGAUCUUCUCCUUCACUCUCUUGCUUGCGCUCAAGCUUCAGCCUGCCGAGCCUUAUUCCUAGUGGUUCACUUUCAGGGAACACUAUAUGGUGACAUCUAUCAUUCUUAGUUCUUUUUGCUCCUCUUUUUCUGUUGCGGGGAGCUGAGGUAUUAUUUGCUGCAUAAAGAUUGGUGGAGAAAAUUGUCUUAAUUUUCAGUUUACACUAGAGUGGGCUCAAGAACAUACUCUGGUCUACCAUCAAAAGCUUGCAACUCUUUUGGGGUUUUGCACCAUGGAUCAAGGUUCUUGGUUGGUGGUCGAUUGAUGAAGAAAGUCGAGAGGAACAAGCUAGACUUUAUAAUGUUGGGAAUUAUGGAUAAGUGUUUUCUACACUGCAUUUUCUAACUUUCACGGGACAUCUUUAUUUAAGCAAUUUUCAUUAUGUACUUAGCUGCUCACUUGUCAGAGCAACUCAAAGAGCCACAAUUUCCAUGUUCAAGUUUAUGUGGACCUAAAUUGGCUGUAUGGGUACUGCGUACUUCAAGUGCAUGCUUGUGUGUGUGACAUACUAGAGCUUAGCAUUCAUGCAAUGCAUAAUAUGGUUUUUAGACUGGUCAUUUUUAUCGUAAUCUUUUUUGUCAUACAGUUUAUACUAUCUGUCAUUCUAGUGUGGUAUUGAAGUACUUAGCUUUGGUUUCGUGAAGAAAACAUUAUCUCUAUGUCACUGGUAGGGUUGUUGUGGUUUUUCCCUUAAAAACUCUCUCAUGUCCACCCUCCUCCAAUGCAUCUACAAAAUGCCUCAUUUUUGUGCCUUCAAGAUUUUAUAGGACAACCAUGAAAGAUGAGGUAUGUUGGCAUAAUGUCUAUGCAGUUUGACAAAGUAAUUCAGAUGAAUUAAAAAGGAAAAAAAAUGGUUGUUGCAAAUCUCUACUUGAUCCAUAUCGUUCAGGUACUGCACUGUUGCUACCCUGGCUUUUGUUUUUCUACCUUUUGUUUGCAUUGAAUUGUCCACAUUGCAGCAUAUAUGUUACUCAGCCUGAUUAGAUGUUAUUUGAAUAUUAAAUCUCUAUUAUAUACCAAAUGACUUGUCUUGAUAUAAUAUUUUGAUUAUUUUCAUCUCAAAUCUGAAGACUACAACCUGCACUUUGUGGGCAAUAGUAAAUCUAUUAUAUACCAACUGAUUUAUCUUUAUAUGUGUGAUACCCCAUAUGAUAAGAAUAAGGGUAGGUAGUGUGUGGGAUCCCACAUUACUUGGGAAUGAGAAGUUCUUGCUCGUUAUAAG